CUCUGUGCCCUCUCACUUCCCCGGCCUCUUUCUCUUCCCGCGUUCUCGAUCUGGCGCCACCACACAUCGUGAUUCUAGAUCGGGCUGCAUCUCUCACUGCCAAAAGAGAGCAUGGCUGGUGUGGUCUUCAUGAAGAGGAGCAAGGGAGGAUGAGUAGGACGGGCAUGGGAAGGAGCAGCCAGGCCAGAGCUCCGGCGUCGCUCGCGUCAUGGUGGAAUGGAGCCGACCAUCACUAUGGGCUGCUGCUCGUGGGUCGUCGUUCCCCAAUCUCUGUUGCACAUCUUUGGCUUCACCUGUUUUCUUCUGCCUCUUGUCCCCCCCCCCCGGUUCUCGAUCUGGAUUUGGAUUUCUUGUUUGUGGGUGUAAUCUUUGGCUGCACAAGAUGUUGUUGAGAUUAUUGAUCGGUAUGAUCAUGCAUGUGUCCCACCUAACAUGACUGAUAAUAAGCUUGCGUACAUCCAGAAUGAGGCUAUAUCCAAAGAGUGCACAAGGACUCUCACGGUUACAAAGGAUACGAAGCAGCCAAUUUAUGCCUACUACCAACUUGACAACUUUUAUCAGAAUCAUAGGAGGUAUAGUCUUAUUUGAUGUUUUCAGUCAAUAACUUCUGGAGCAACUUAUUUGAUGUUUUCAGUCAAUAAAAUGGGA